rnacentral:ncRNA from 1 species
AAAAAAGCUAUGAUAGAGAAAAGUAUUAUAAUUUAACUUAGGAAAGAGAAAAAUACAUUUGCUGUGAGUAUUUACUAAGUAUUUAUAAGAAGUUCACUCUGGAGCAUUAAAGCUGAACAGAAAUCAGUAGGCUUUAACGUUGAACGCGUUAAGUUUGUUUGAGUGGUUUAUUAAUAUUUUUAUUAUAUUAUUAAACUACUAGGGUGGUACCGCGAAUUACAGUCUUUCGUCCCUAGA